UUACCAAUUACAUAAAUAACUUAAGCAAAAUUUCGCUUGAUAGACGUAGUCAUACAGAGACUCGUCAAUGUAUCUCAAACAUUCAUCACAGAAAAAUUACACGAAGAUAAUUUGGAGAUCGUUCGAAAGUCGUAUAGAUAGUCGUAAUUCAACGUCAAGGAGUCCGGAGCAUCCGGUUUCAACCUGGCCUUUCCGGGUCAAACACUCGCACAGAAAUCUUUUUACUUCUCACACGAAAACGCGUACGACCGUGAAACACCGCAUAAAUUUAUCAAAAAUGGAACAGAAACUUCCGACUUGAAAGUUGAGAACUUCUGCAGUUGGCAAACUCGAG
rnacentral:misc_RNA from 1 species